AUGGUUCUUUGCAUUUUGUUUUACAGCACUUCCAAGAUGGGUCUUCUCGGAGAUUCAGCUUGUAGAAUCUGGGCCAGGAUUGGUGAGACCUGGAAGUCAACUCAACCUAGUUUUGACCUUCUUCAGGCUCAUCUCAAAACUCAUCUCUCUAAACCUCUUCACAAUGGCAAUCCACUUCUUAAUUCUCAUCGUGCUGGUUGCCUUCAUCAAAGAUGGCCUCUCCCAGAUAGUCUUGACCCAGUCAGAUCCAGUGCUGAAGAAACCAGGAGAAUCCCAUAAACUGACUUGCGCUGUCACUGGAUUCAAUGUUAACAGCUAUUACAUGGGUUGGAUCAGACAGAAACCUGGCCAAGGACUGGAAUGGCUUGUUUACUAUUACACAUCUAGUAGCAACUAUUAUUCACCAACAAUCCAAGGACGUUUUACUGCCUCCAAGGACAGUUCUAACUUCUAUCUGCAAAUGAACAAUCUAAAAGCUGAUGACUCGGCUGUCUAUUAUUGUGCAAGAGACACAGUGAAAUAG